rnacentral:other from 1 species
CAUUGUAAGGACACAAUCAUCAAUAGGAUGUUGAUGACUAAGGAAAGACAAUGGACACCUCAUAGGAUUGAGGUAAGGACAGCAUCAGGACGAUGCAAAGGACACCGCUAGGACGGCGACGUAAGGACUAAGCUGACGGAAUCAGCCACUAUUAUGGAUGAUGCAUGGAGCACUAACUAGUAGCCGGACUGCUGCGAGUAAGACUAUGACCCCGAUACGCUAGUAUCGGGGUCUUUCUUAUUU